UCGCAAUCCUCCCGUGAAAAAAAAACAUGCGAAAAAAACCUACGAUCGAUGCCUCGUGCCCAAAGCAGAUCUUCCUCCGCCGCCAACCAUCCCUUCGCAAGCCCGAUCCACCCCUUCUCCCCCGCCGGACAUCCAUACCUGUGCCGCGGCCGAUCCUAACCUUCGCCGCCGCCCUCGCACACCAUAGCCGCCGCCCAUCUGCUUCAGGAUCGCUUCUGGAGACGGCACCGCGAUCCCGUGUAGGAGUCGCGGGCGAUCACGCCCAGGAUCCGACGGCGAUUCCCUGCCGGCGCUGAUCCCAGUUCAUGAGUACGUAUGGGGAAUCCACAAAGCAAAGCAGCGGAACAUAUGACAUCGUCAGAUGUACCUCCAGAUAAGUUGGAUGGAACAAAUGAUGUUGAGAACUACACAAGAGUGCCAAGUAUGCCAGUUGGAUCAACCACGCAACCGGUUGUUCCUCAUAAUGAUAUUGUGAGUACUGAAGUUGUUGCAUAUCAGAUGUAUGGGACAAUAUUUGAUGAUAAUUACCCUAUUAGUCCAGAUCGGUCCAUACCUAGACAGACCGCACAACCGGUUGUUCCCCAACCCACUGAUGGUGAUAUCACAUAUGUUCAGUGGCCUUCCCAUCUUGUCUCAGACAACCCGGCAACCUCAUUCAUAUUGAAUGAAGCUUCGUUUGUGCCUCUCAGUUGUCUCACAUACGAGUCUACCACAGCCGUAGCACAAAGUGUAAAUGAGGCUCAUGAUGUGUCUCAUAUAGAUGGAAGAAGACACGUGUACAUUAAUGCAACAUCUCGAGUUUUACCCCAAUCCGAUUCAACAUCUGAGCACAUGACUACAAGAUCUGUCUGGAAUGUCUCCAAACAAACUAAGAAAGGUAUCUUCCCUGACAAAAAAGAGGGAGCACAUAAACGCCAAGAGGCGAGCUGUUUAUCGAAAGAAACAAGAUGAGGAAGCAGAAACACUAGAGCAUGAAUAUUAACCUUCCGUUACAAUGUCUGUCUAUGAUAAUAGGGAGCUAAUAAACGGGCGGAGGCGGGUAGCGUAUCGUAAGAACAAAUAGUAUGCUGACAAAAACAAAGAGCAGAUAAAAGCUCCGAGGCGAGGUGGUUAUCGAAAGAAAAAUGAGGACGCCGCCAACAAGCAUCUCCAUGCAAAUCUUCCUGCCCUUAACAUAUCGGGUACGAGUAUGCUAUAUUACAGCACUACGACGAAUGUAUAUACUCAUUUUGUUGCCAACUAUAUGAUUGUUAUCGGAAGAUAAAUGAGUACAACACCUUCAAUCAUCAAGCGGGCAUGCAAAGUGUUCCAUAGAGCGCUCUCGGUGAUUUCACUAUGACAUCGUCAGAUGUACCUCCAGUGGUUGCAGAUAAGUUGGAUGGGACACAUGAUGGUGAUAACUACCCAAGUAUGCCAAGUAUGCCAGUUGGAUCAACCCCGCAACCGGUUGUUCCGCAUAAUGAGAUCGUGAGUACUGAAGUUGUUGCAUAUCAGAUGGAUGGGACAACAUUUGAUGAUAAUUACCCUAUUAGUCCAGGUAUGAGUCUGUGCGGAGAGAGUACUCAUAAUUUUAUUCUCUUAAUGUGAUGAACUAUAUCUCAGUUGCAAGUAUGAACCAACUUUAGAUCGGUCCAUACCUGGACAGACCGCACAGCCGGUUGUUCCCCAACACACCGAUGGUGAUAUCACAUAUGUUCAGCGGCCUUCCCAUCUGAUCUCAGAUGAGUAUUAAACAUAAUGAAUAAUCGACACUUCGGUUAGCAGUAAACUGACUCAUUAUGUCCACUACCGGUUAUUUUUACUUCAAGCAAACAACCCGGCAAGCUCAUUCAUAAUGAAUGACGCUUCGUUUGUGCCUCUCAGUUGUCUCACACACGAGUCUGGAACAGCCAUAGCACAAAGUGUAAAUGGUAUUACCGGAUUCGUCUUUAGUUGUGAACCGUAUCAUGCUUAUAUAGGUUGUUGCAGAUGUUCAAGAUUCAUAUUGAUUUUGUGUUGUUCCAGAGGCUCUAGAUGUGUCUCGUAUAGAUGGCGGAAGACACAUGUACAUUAAUGCAACUGCUCAAGUUUUACCCCAACCCGAUUCAACAUACGAGCACAUGACUACAGGAUCUGUCGUGAAUGUCUCCAAACAAACUAAGAAAGGUAUCUUGUCUAACGAAAAAAGGGAUAAGAUAAACGCCAAGAGGCGAGCUGCUUAUCAUAACAAAAAGAGGAGGAAGCAGAGAAACUACAACAUGAAUAUCAACCUUCCCUUACAAUGUCUGAUGACAAGAGGGAGCUAAUAAACGCGCGGAGACGGGCAUCGUAUCGUAAGAACAAAGAGGAUGCUGACAAAAACAAGGAGCCACUAAAACCUCCGAGGCGAGGUGGUUAUCGAAAGAAAAAUGAGGACACCGCCAACAAGCAUCUCCAUGAAAAUCUCUCUGCCCUUGACAUAUCGGGUACGAGUAUGUUAUAUUUCAGCACUACGACGAAUGUAUAUACUCCCUUUGUUGCCAACUGUAUGAUUGUUAUCGGAAGAUAAAUGAGUACAACACCUUCAAUCAUCAAGCAGGUAUGCAAAGUGUACCACAGAGCGCUCUCGGUGAUAUCACUAAUGGGGAACAACCAUCCUCUAUAAUCCUUGAUGAUAAAAAGGUGCAGAAAAAGGCUCAAAGCCGAGCUACGUGAAGCACCAAGAUGAAAAUCUUCCUGCCCUUACGAUAUCGGCUUAGAAUACUUUAUGAUUCAGCUCGCCUUUAUUGUACAUAGUCAUAAUGUUUCUAAUUUAAGUAUGGUUAAUAA